GGCUGGUCCCAAGGUAGUGAGUUAUCUCAAUUGAUCGUUUGCAGUCAGUUACAGAUCGAACUCCUUGUUCUACUCUUUCCCCCACUUCUCACUACUGCACUUGACUAGUCUAAA
ensembl:Y_RNA Y_RNA Y RNA